UAUUAAAAUUUUCAUUCAUUUGUAUUGUUAACAACUGACUUGGUUAACAAAAUAACUAGACUACAAUACUUGGUGUGACACAUUUAUCUUUUGCUAAUAUACAUAAACCAAUUUUUAACAGUAGAAAUAAAUGAAAUUUUUUAACA
rfam:Gossypium hirsutum cultivar TM-1 chromosome 23, whole genome shotgun sequence